rnacentral:rRNA from 1 species
UGUGCCAGCAGCCGCGGUAAUACGUAGGGGGCAAGCGUUGUCCGGAAUUAUUGGGCGUAAAGCGCGCGCAGGCGGCUUCUUAAGUCAGGUGUGAAAGCCCACGGCUCAACCGUGGAGGGCCACUUGAAACUGGGAAGCUUGAGUGCAGGAGAGGAGAGCGGAAUUCCACGUGUAGCGGUGAAAUGCGUAGAGAUGUGGAGGAACACCCGUGGCGAAGGCGGCUCUCUGGCCUGUAACUGACGCUGAGGCGCGAAAGCGUGGGGAGCGAACAGGAUUAGAAACCCGUGUAGUCC